rfam:Beta vulgaris subsp. vulgaris 0861.scaffold01457.con0001.1, whole genome shotgun sequence.
GGUUAGGUUCAUACCAGACCGAGUAUGCCGUAUCUCAUUCCGAAUUGCGAAGCCAAGCGGUCUUGGGCCGGCUUAGUACUGGCGUGGGGGACCAGCUGGGAACCGCAUGGUGAUCUAACCU